UCCGACUUAACGUUGGCAGUCUCGUUAGAGUGCCCAACUUAACUUGCUGGCAACUAGGGACAAGGGUUGCGCUCGUUGCGGGACUUAACCCAACAUCUCACGACACGAGCUGACGACAGCCAUGCAGCACCUGUGCACGAUCUCCGAAGAGGGGCCCUCGUUUCUGAGAGCUUGCUCGUGCAUGUCAAGCCUAGGUAAGGUUCUUCGCGUUGCGUCGAAUUAAACCACAUGCUCCACCGCUUGUGCGGGCCCCCGUCAAUUUCUUUGAGUUUUAGCCUUGCGGCCGUACUCCCCAGGCGGGGUACUUAAUGCGUUAGCUACGGCACGGAUCCCAAGGAAGGAAACCCACACCUAGUACCCACCGUUUACGGCGUGGACUAC
rnacentral:misc_RNA from 1 species